rnacentral:rRNA from 1 species
GAACGCUGGCGGCGUGCUUAACACAUGCAAGUCGAACGGACGAUGAAGAGCUUGCUCUUCAGAGUUAGUGGCGGACGGGUGAGUAACGCGUGGGUAACCUGCCUCAUACAGGGGGAUAGCAGCUGGAAACGGCUGAUAAAACCGCAUAAGCGCACAGCAUCGCAUGAUGCAGUGUGAAAAACUCCGGUGGUACAAGAUGGUCCCGCGUCUGAUUAGCUUGUUGGCGGGGUAAUGGCCCACCAAGGCGACGAUCAGUAGCCGACCUGAGAGGGUGACCGGCCACAUUGGGACUGAGACACGGCCCAAACUCCUACGGGAGGCAGCAGUGGGGAAUAUUGCACAAUGGAGGAAACUCUGAUGCAGCGACGCCGCGUGAGCGAUGAAGUAUUUCGGUAUGUAAAGCUCUAUCAGCAGGGAAGAUAAUGACGGUACCUGAGUAAGAAGCUCCGGCUAAAUACGUG